CUGGCAGUCAUGGUUCCCGUCCACCAGCUCUGCUUUGGAAACAGUGGUGACGUUACUCUCACGAGCCUAUCUCGGCAUAUUCAUGAUGUCUGUCCAUUGCAGCUUCUUUGAAAUAUCUUGACAGCGGGGCCCAGCGAGCCUUUCUGCUCCCGAUGAUGAGCUUUGAGUACAGAAGAAUGGAUUAGUCUGAACUGAGCAAUCUACCUGUCCACCUCUUUGUAACAAAACAUCUCGUGCUGCCAUUGAAUGCAGGAUGAGAAGAAAGAGAGAUGCCGUACACAAAGAACGGGAUACGUCUGGUGACAAGUGACGUAGGU